rnacentral:rRNA from 1 species
AGCGAACGCUGGCGGCGUGCUUAACACAUGCAAGUCGAACGCGUGUAGCAAUACACGAGUGGCGCACGGGUGAGUAACGCGUGGAUAUCUGCCUUUUGGUUCGGAAUAACUCCGGGAAACUGGAGCUAAUACCGGAUGGUUCCUUCGGGAUAAAGAUUUAUCGCCAAAAGAUGAGUCCGCGUACGAUUAGCUAGUUGGGGAGGUAAUGGCUCACCAAGGCGACGAUCGUUAGCUGGUCUGAGAGGACGAUCAGCCACACUGGGACUGAGACACGGCCCAGACUCCUACGGGAGGCAGCAGUGGGGAAUAUUGGACAAUGGGGGCAACCCUGAUCCAGCCAUGCCGCGUGAGUGAUGAAGGCCUUCGGGUUGUAAAGCUCUUUUGGCGGGGACGAUGAUGACGGUACCCGCAGAAUAAGCCCCGGCUAACUUCGUGCCAGCAGCCGCCGUAA